rnacentral:rRNA from 1 species
GACGAACGCUGGCGGCGUGCCUAAUACAUGCAAGUAGAACGCUGAAGGAGGAGCUUGCUCUUCUGGAUGAGUUGCGAACGGGUGAGUAACGCGUAGGUAACCUGCCUGGUAGCGGGGGAUAACUAUUGGAAACGAUAGCUAAUACCGCAUAAAAUUGAUUAUUGCAUGAUAGUCAAUUAAAAGGUGCAAUUGCAUCACUACCAGAUGGACCUGCGUUGUAUUAGCUAGUUGGUGAGGUAACGGCUCACCAAGGCAACGAUACAUAGCCGACCUGAGAGGGGGAUCGGCCACACUGGGACUGAGACACGGCCCAGACUCCUACGGGAGGCAGCAGUAGGGAAUCUUCGGCAAUGGACGGAAGUCUGACCGAGCAACGCCGCGUGAGUGAAGAAGGUUUUCGGAUCGUAAAGCUCUGUUGUAAGAGAAGAACGAGUGUGAGAGUGGAAAGUUCACACUGUGACGGUAUCUUACCAGAAAGGGACGGCUAACUACGUG